AACCAGUCCAAAAACUAACCCCCGCCAAAAAAAAAAAAAUUGGAAAAAGGAGGAUUUCCUUUGGACUUUUCUAACUGUUGAAGUGAGGAAACUACAUAUUGUGCACAAGCAAGCUACAGGCACAUACUUCUUAUACACCCACAUUUUUACUUUACAUAAACUUAUGAUAUAUAUAUAUGGUCCACUAUAAAACAAAAACAAAAAAAUAAAAAACAAAAACAAAAAAAAAACUUAUUCUAAUAUUAUAUUACAUGACAAAGGCAUGGAUGCGGUUUUUAAGGUGUAUCCUAGUUUUUUCAUUUAUUUUUCUCCCUUUUUUCAAAGUCAAUUGAUUGACUUUGUGAAGCUGUAAGAGAGAGAGAGUCUGAUGUUUGUUUAUGUUAUGCCUCUUUUCUUCAUUAUAUUUAAUUUGUUUAAACCAGCAGCUUUGUUUGAUAAUGUACAUUCAAGGAGUCUUUGUUUUAUUGUAUUUGUAAUGAACAAGCCCAGUUCUAAUUGGAAAAAGUGUGCAACUGCUUCUGUGUGCUUCUCUGAU